UACGUAGGGGGCAAGCGUUGUCCGGAAUCAUUGGGCGUAAAGAGCGUGUAGGCGGUUCGGUAAGUCGGCUGUGAAAGUCCAGGGCUCAACCCUGGGAUGCCGGUCGAUACUGCCGGACUAGAGUUCGGAAGAGGCGAGUGGAAUUCCCGGUGUAGCGGUGAAAUGCGCAGAUAUCGGGAGGAGCACCUAUGGCGAAGGCAGCUCGCUGGGACGUUACUGACGCUGAGGAGCGAAAGCAUGGGGAGCGAACAGG
rnacentral:rRNA from 1 species